rnacentral:rRNA from 1 species
CAGCAUAAUUUUUUGUGGUGCAUUUACUUGAUUGGUGCUUGGGGAUGUUUGAGGCAGAUUUGUUUCCGUCGUUUUGAGGCCAGCUUGCUGGUACCCAAACGGUGUUAGCAUUUUUUGUCUUGGGCAUUUGAGUAUGGCUCACGUGUAUUUAUUGGACAGAUCUGAGUGUAAGUUACGGUCGCAUGCGACACGUGCUUUUCAAUUAGUUCGGUCCAGUUAAUGCUCUCGUACUCGUUCCCCAUGUAAAAGCCGGUCAUCUAUCCGACCCGUCUUGAAACACGGACCAAGGAGUUUAUCGUGUGCGCAAGUUUUUGGGUGUUAAAAACUUAAAAGCGAAAUGAAAGUAAAUGACUCUUUAGAGUCUGAUGUGCGAUCUUGUAAAAAAGUGUAGCAUGGCCCCAUUCUAACUGUUUACAGUAGGGUGGCGGAAGAGCGUACGCGGUGAGACCCGAAAGAUGGUGAACUAUUCCUGAGCAGGACGAAGCCAGAGGAAAYUCUGGUGGAAGUCCGAAGCGGUUCUGACGUGCAAAUCGAUCGUCUGACUUGGGUAUAGGGGCGAAAGACUAAUCGAACCAUCUAGUAGCUGGUUCCUUCC